AGUGAACGCUGGCGGGAGGCCUAACACAUGCAAGUCGAACGGUAGCAAAGAAAUUGCUAGCUCUUACGGGUGCCGAGUGGCGGAGGGGAGAUGAACACACCGGAAUCAUCUUGUUCGUGGGGGAUCACGUAGGGGAACAUAGGCUAAUAACGUAUACGUCCUAAGGAAUAAAUAAUGAAAUCUUCGGACCUUGGGCGAUGGCAUGCGCCCGUGUAGGAUGUGCUAGAGGGUGAGGUAACGGCCCACCAAGGCGUCGAUCUGUAGGGGGGGUGAGAGGAUGAUCCCCCACACUGGUACUGAGACACGGACCAGACUCCUACGGGAGGCAGCAGUGAGGAAGAUUGGACGAUGAGUGCAAGCCUGAUCCAGCCAUCCCGCGUGAAGGAGGACUGCCCUAGGGGUUGUAAACUUCUGUGAAACAAGGAUAACCCUACUUACGUGUAAGUAGCUGAAGGUACUGUAUGAAUAAGCACCGGCUAACUCCGUG
rnacentral:rRNA from 1 species